GCCGGUGUGAUGGAAUUGGCAGACGUAGCGGACUCAAAAUCCGCCGGGGCGACCCGUACCGGUUCAAGCCCGGUCACCGGCA
rnacentral:tRNA from 1 species